GGGUUUCCAUGAGGGGUGGUAAAGACCGCUGGGGGUCCCCUAGCGUUAUCAGGAUAUCGUCGGCGAAUAGCGCCAAUUUAUAUUCCUGUCCUCGAAUUGUGAUUCCUUUUAUGCAAGGGUCUGUGCGUAUUUUUUGGGCCAAUGGUUCUAGCGAUAGGAUGUAAAGGAGGGGGGAUAGGGGGCAGCCCUGGCGUGUCCCGUUAGUAAUCG